UACGAGGGGUGCAAGCGUUGCUCGGAAUUAUUGGGCGUAAAGGGUAGGUAGGUGGUCUCAUUUGUCUGGGGUGAAAGCCUUGAGCUUAACUCAAGAAGUGCCCCGGAAACGGUGAGACUGGAGUCUUGGAGAGGGUCGUGGAAUUCCCGGUGUAGCGGUGAAAUGCGUAGAUAUCGAGAGGAACACCGGUGGCGAAGGCGGCCAGCUGGGCCGUCCCUGACGCUGAGGCGCGAAGGCGUGGGGAGCGAACGGG
rnacentral:rRNA from 1 species